CCAUCGGGCCUUUCUUUAACUCCAUAAACUGGCUUUGAUUCCCAGUGAGGAGGCAGGGGCUGCAGACAAAGACCCACUGUUGCUUCCUCUCAAAGUUGUCUUAACCCUUUUCAUGCGGGCUCUGUCACUUUAGGCGUGUAAAGACAUAAAAGGCAGAGUCCUUGUCAGAAGGCAUUUUCUGGACAAAUAUUAGCCCUCGCUGGAUGUGAAUGACUUUGGCCAUCAGGGGUAAUUAGCGCGAUCAGGUGGAUCACAAACUGCGAAGCUUCAGCCGGACUUUUACGCACAGCGGGGCUCAGGUUGGCAGGUGUACCGUUCCUAAAACCCAUGCCUUGUUUCCUGUUUACCACGAGCUCCAACGGCCGAAGGAGCAGGAAGAUCCACGUCCAGGAGGAUUUGGGUCAUGUUCUGCUUUAUGUCAAAUUCCGGGGGAGGAAAAAUCCUGUUCGAGCAGACGGAUGAAGCCGUUUCAGCAGCAUCAUUUGGAUUUUUAUACUCUUUAAAAUACAAAUGUGUUCAAACCAGUCUGGAUUAUGGUAUAGUGGAAAUGUGGUCUGUGGUAUAGUGGGCUCAAUAAAACCAACAGCAUAACCUAAUGCUGCAUAAAUCUGUCCAGUAAACGUCUAAAUUACUGAGUUGAACAAUAACACAGAGUGAAAAUGGGCUUAAAAGGCCCACAGCAGUUAUGGGGAGAGUGUGGCUGAGUUUUAAAUCUGUCCUCAAGUUCAAAUGAUGGAGCAAAAGUGGAAGCGCUUUGACCUUGUAGGACAUUUUCUUCAGAUUCAAACUCAGGAUUUUACUCUGACGGUUUUCAUCGCUGCAACAUCAACUUUAGUUUGAAGAUUUGUGUUGUAAAAUCGUAUCUUUUGCCUUAAUUUGUGGUCAGAUAGCUCCACGGAGCAAAGGUUCUGCAGUCAGCGAGUUCAGUCAGGCAGCCGCAUGGACGCCCGCCUCCCCCUUCUCCCUCCCUCACCCCAACCCUCCUCCUAUGGGAGACAUAUUUAAUUUAAUUAAGGCCUGUCACCGCUAUUGAUUUUGGCACUUUCAAUUAUGGCCCGGACGUUUAUGGGCUGUAUGUGCUUUGGAUCUACUGAUCUGUGAUGAGGGGGCCCUAUCAGUGCGGGACCACAUGGAAGAGAAGCCUUUUUGUCUUCCUUAUUGCUCUGCCCUGUCUGCAGGAAACACUGAGGCAUGGCUGCCGCCUCAGCCCCACUCCCCUCCUGCUAACCAUAAUUAAUCCCUCAUUAGACAGCUCUUUAUUGUUUAAUUUGUGCCGUUGGUAAUCAAAUUGGGCAGAUUAAUUGCUACAGAAUUUAGAAACCGGAGUGAAAAAUAGCCACUUUUAAUUGCCUUUAGGUUUUAUGACACCCCAAGCUCUUCGCUAAGCCAUCAGGGCAACACUGGCGAAAUAUCUCACACUCUAAAGAUUUUUCUUUUCUCUGCAUGAUGAACCAUUACUCUGUGCUUUUUCCUCUUUUUUUCUUCAAACAAAAGCACAGUGACUUUGCUGCAGCUCAUUAAAAUGUUUCUUGGAGAGGUAU